GCUAUAAUUGUCAGCUAAGUGGCGCACGGGUGAGUAAUGUAUAGAUAACCUGCCCUUAAGAAAGGAAUAACAGUUGGAAACGACUGCUAAUGCCCUAUAUGCCUUUAAUACAUAAGUAUGCAAGGGAAACGCUUUAGUGCUUAAGGAUGGGUCUGUAUGGUAUCAGCUUGUUGGUGAGGUAAUGGCUCACCAAGGCUAUGACGCCUAACUGGUUUGAGAGGAUGAUCAGUCACACUGGAACUGAGACACGGUCCAGACUCCUACGGGAGGCAGCAGUGGGGAAUAUUGCACAAUGGACGAAAGUCUGAUGCAGCAACGCCGCGUGGAGGAUGACACAUUUCGGUGCGUAAACUCCUUUUAUAUAGGAAGAUAAUGACGGUACUAUAUGAAUAAGCACCGGCUAACUCCGUGCCAGCAGCCGCGGUAAUACGGAGGGUGCAAGCGUUACUCGGAAUCACUGGGCGUAAAGAGCGUGUAGGCGGGUAUAUAAGUCAGAAGUGAAAUCCAAUAGCUCAACUAUUGAACUGCUUUUGAAACUGUAUACCUAGAAUGUGGGAGAGGUAGAUGGAAUUUCUGGUGUAGGGGUAAAAUCCGUAGAGAUCAGAAGGAAUACCGAUUGCGAAGGCGAUCUACUGGAACAUUAUUGACGCUGAGACGCGAAAGCGUGGGGAGCAAACAGGAUUAGAUACCCUGGUAGUCCACGCCCUGAACGAUGUACACUAGUUGUUGUGAGGCUCGACCUUGCAGUAAUGCAGUUAACACAUUAAGUGUACCGCCUGGGGAGUACGGUCGCAAGAUUAA
rnacentral:rRNA from 1 species